GGGGAGUUAACUCAAAUGGUAGAGCGCUCGCUUAGUAUGCGAGAGGUAGCAGGAUCAACACCCACAUUCUCCA